rnacentral:rRNA from 1 species
UGAACGCUGGCGGCAGGCCUAACACAUGCAAGUCGAGCGGUAGAGAGAAGCUUGCUUCUCUUGAGAGCGGCGGACGGGUGAGUAAUGCCUAGGAAUCUGCCUGGUAGUGGGGGAUAACGUUCGGAAACGGACGCUAAUACCGCAUACGUCCUACGGGAGAAAGCAGGGGACCUUCGGGCCUUGCGCUAUCAGAUGAGCCUAGGUCGGAUUAGCUAGUUGGUGGGGUAAUGGCUCACCAAGGCGACGAUCCGUAACUGGUCUGAGAGGAUGAUCAGUCACACUGGAACUGAGACACGGUCCAGACUCCUACGGGAGGCAGCAGUGGGGAAUAUUGGACAAUGGGCGAAAGCCUGAUCCAGCCAUGCCGCGUGUGUGAAGAAGGUCUUCGGAUUGUAAAGCACUUUAAGUUGGGAGGAAGGGUUGUAGAUUAAUACUCUGCAAUUUUGACGUUACCGACAGAAUAAGCACCGGCUAACUCUGUGCCAGCAGCCGCGGUAAUACAGAGGGUGCAAGCGUUAAUCGGAAUUACUGGGCGUAAAGCGCGCGUAGGUGGUUUGUUAAGUUGGAUGUGAAAUCCCCGGGCUCAACCUGGGAACUGCAUUCAAAACUGACUGACUAGAGUAUGGUAGAGGGUGGUGGAAUUUCCUGUGUAGCGGUGAAAUGCGUAGAUAUAGGAAGGAACACCAGUGGCGAAGGCGACCACCUGGACUAAUACU